rnacentral:rRNA from 1 species
CAGCAGCCGCGGGAAUACGAAGGGUGCAAGCGUUACUCGGAAUUACUGGGCGUAAAGCGUGCGUAGGUGGUGGUUUAAGUCCGUUGUGAGAGCCCUGGGCUCAACCUGGGAAUUGCAGUGGAUACUGGGUCACUAGAGUGUGGUAGAGGAUAGUGGAAUUUCCGGUGUAGCAGUGAAAUGCGUAGAGAUCGGAAGGAACAUCUGUGGCGAAGGCGACUAUCUGGGCCAACACUGACACUGAGGCACGAAAGCGUGGGGAGCAAACAGGAUUAGAUACCCGUGUAGUCCCUGUCUCUUAUAC